CACAAUACAAGAUGACGCAGGUGGACACCAUCACAGGACGAAGCUGCAGGAACUAUGCCUGCCGUGCUGCUGCAGGUACUGAGCUGCUUCCUUUAUCCGAGAGCUAAAUGAAAACAGACGAACUGAAAGCAAGAGUGCCUUCGCAGCAUGCAUGUUAGCAGUUAUGUCAACAGAGCUCCAUGAUUCACUUCAUGUGGUUUUCUGUGACAGCAUCCUCCUGCUUCUAGAAGCUCAGAGAACUCAGAGAACUAAUGGCACAAAACACUGGUGAGGCAUUUCUGAAAUGUGAAAGCACGUCACACAGACGGCAUGGGGAGAUCACACAGAGUGCAGAGACCUUUGAUGUCUUCCUCCGGAACCAGAGGCAGGAGAAAUGCCCGCUGGUACACGCGUCCUGAGGGGGAAGAAUAUAUUCUUUGCAAUGUCUGGAGGAACCACAGCAUAACGGAUUCGUUUGAUGUUUUCCCCGGUUAUUGUUCACGAGGCCAACUGAAGUCAUCUGCCACCUGCAGAGCUGCAGGUGCAGCGUCGUGG